UACGUAGGGGGCAAGCGUUGUCCGGAUUUAUUGGGCGUAAAGAGCGUGUAGGCGGCCAGGUAGGUCCGUUGUGAAAACUCGAGGCUCAACCUCGAGACGCCGAUGGAAACCAUCUGGCUAGAGUCCGGAAGAGGAGAGUGGAAUUCCCGGUGUAGCGGUGAAAUGCGCAGAUAUCGGGAAGAACACCCGUGGCUAAGGCGGCUCUCUGGGCCGAUACUGACGCUGAGGAGCGAAAGCGUGGGGAGCGAACAGG
rnacentral:rRNA from 1 species